GUGGCGGCGCUUGUUUACUUUGUCGGUGUGUUUGAACCUCCCAGGGGCUAGGUUGGUCGUCCAGAGGACCCGCCGCCUGUCGCGAGCUUUUGCCGAGCUGUGGCUUCUCUGAGAGUUGAAACAGGGCUCCUCUUUGUCGUGUCUCCUGAGGCCAUUUCCCCCCCUCCCCACAGGAAGGCUGGAGGCGGCGGGAAGCCACACGAGGCAUGCUUGGGCGAGGGCCCCGGUUGGGGAGGCAGGGCUGAGCCUUCCAUCCCGCUGCCCAGGGCUGCCUCCAGGCUGUGGUGUCACCUCCCAGAGGCUUCCGCCGUGAAUGAGUGUCACUCCUGGCGGCAGUGCCUCCAGGCCUGACUCUGGCCCCAAGAGUCUGGCACUGAAAUCCCUAAAGAGUCCCCGGCUGAGUAACCUUGAUAAGGCCCGACUCAGGCCCUGUCUCACGGGCAUGUCUCCAAGAUGAAACGAGACGACUGUAACUUGCCUUGCACAGUAUCCAGCACAUAGUAGGUCCUUAAUCUAGAAUGGUGGAGCGAACCGAAGAAUAAAUUCAUGAACCGCAUGUGGAGAGGGGUUUGGAACCUAAUAACUGAAUACAGUAUCACAACCAUGACUGUUAUUAUAAAAUAAUAAUGCAGCCUAGAAAAUAGCCAUAGCCUGUGAGCAUCUGGGUGCCCCCCAGUGACGGUAACUGGGCGAUCAGUGGGGCUGCUCCCCAGCUUCCAGGCCCCUGUAGAACCGCACUUCUGUGCCUCUGCGAAGAGGCCGGUUACAUGUGCAUUAAGUAGCGUAUCUUCCGAUGGGAGGUUUCAGAACCCAGGGCGCAGUGUGCCCUGACGCGUGCCUGUGCUUGGAGGCUGGUCAGACGUGGAUGGAGGCGGAGAGCGCCGGGCCAGCCGGCGGCGAUGACCGUGCGUGAACGAGAAACGAGCUUUUGUAUCUGGGCUGCCGAGUUUAGUUUUGCGGCCGACCUCACCUGCCCUGACUGGUGGAAAGAGAGAAUCACGGGGGAGCGAACGGUCCGUCUUCCACCGGAACACAGCCCCUCACAGCAGCACAAGCUGAGGAGGGUCUUCCUGGGGGCCUCUGCCCGCCAUGUACCAUCUUGGGAAGGCGUUGGCCUGAAACAUCUCCAGGGACGGGGGCUCGCUCUCUGAAGUCAUCUCCAGCUUCAGGAAAACCUCUGUUGCUUUCAGUUCCACUAGAAUUUUCCAGCCUUUAACUUGACUCACUGCCUCCAGCUCGAGCCUCAGAGCUCCUGGGUUACAGCAGCCCUGGGACAGCUCUGGGCCCGGAAAGGAUGUCCUCUCUCUCUGCUUUACACGUGAGGACAUGGAGGUGCCGACUGCGAGCUUGAGACCUCCAGGCGAUAAUUCAGUGUUCGUUCUGCCUAGACCAUAGAGGACAGGUUCAAAACCGCACCCUGCCCCUUCCUAGACGUGAAUGCCCUAGCAGAGCGGGGUCUGAGUGCAAGUUCUUGGCACACGCACACUCACUGUACCCUCCUGCGGUCCCGCACAGGGCCUGGCAUGAGGCUGCAGAGAUGAGAGACACAGGUCCUGCCCUCACAGGGUUCUCAGUCUGGUUGGAGAGGUUCAUGGGUGUGGAAGUCUUGGAGGGCUUCCUGGAGUUGGUGAUAAGCAGUGUCCUCUGCCUCCUCUGAUGGAUAGGCUGACGCUCCGUGCUUCCCACCGAGGACUCACCUCCUUUGUGUAUCUCUGUACAAACUUCAGGCCCCUGAUCUCCCAGCAGGUGGCCCUGGCCUUGGCGUGAAGAAGGGGCCUGAGAUAGCAGCCUCAGGGGUGAUGCGGUGUUGUAACCCCGAGAGCGGGUGUGGCCUACAGCUCUGGAAAGACACUAACAGCCACUGAUGGUGCACCGGCAGUGGGCGAAUCGUUCGGCACGUGAUUCUAGCUGGUGAAGAUGUUUUAGGAAAACAUCACAUCAUGAGCGUUUCCUCCCCGACCCACAUCUGGUGCUUCCCACAGAACCCAGCCUGUUCAGCCCGAGGGUGUCUGCCUAAGAGGGGCGCUGUCCCUUCUGCCGCCGCGGUGCCCCAGCUACAGGCUCUGCUCUUCUCUUCGGGGUCAGUGGCCACUGGACGCUCACUUGGGUGAGCGUCAGGGAGUGUUGGGGACAUUGCUGGAGGCCUUUGGACAGCGGUCAGCUGGGCUCGUUACCCAGCAUGGGGUCCCCAGACCAGCAGCAGCGACAUCCCCAGGGAACUGUCAGAAAUGCCGAGCGGCCCUGAUUUGGAAUCUGACUCUUAACCAGAUCCUCACGGCCAUAGUGUCCUUGAGAGUGUGAGUGGCAUUAAUUUAGGGCAGGUGUCUCACACUUGGCUGCGUCGCUGACGCCCAAGUUCCACCCCCAGAGGUUCGAGGUUCCUUGCCUGGUGUCGCCCGGGAAUGUGAGGUGCGCCAGUGAUUGCAUCACGGUCGAGAAGCCCAGGUCCUUGCACAUACAGGUGUGGCUUCGUGAGCUUGUUUUGCCCGACGCCAGACGGGCUCACGCACCCUCACCGUGUCCCUCGCUGUCCAGCCAGGCUGACGGGCCCUGCAGUGGCUCUCCCUGGCACAUAGCACUCGUCUCAUCCUGUUUCAUCUUUGCCGAACAAUCACUGCCAUCUCCGUGGUCACUGUUAAACUUGGCCCCGACCGCACUGGGCCUCACUGCGAUUGUCCAAAUCCCGGACUUCAAACAAACAGAGAGAAAAUAACAUUGGCUACUCCUUUGUGAUAAGCCACUUUUAUCAGCCCCCAUUGCACCCAGCUGGCAUCAGCUGGUCAGAUGGUCUCUUUUACAUGCUGUAAAUAAACAUCACCUGUUUGUCCAGGAUGACACGGGGGCAGCUCCUGCUGCUGGUGUUAUCACAGAGGAAGCACUAGGUUGGGUGUGAGUGUUUGGACGUGAACGAGAGGACAACAGCAGGGCCUUGGCUGAGCCCCAGGGCAACCAGGUCACAGCCUCGGGAGCUUUGCUGAGACCUGUGUGGUUAUUGCUUCCUGGACGGCGCAGCGCAGAGAAGGGGACUUUCACUUCUUCCUGCCUCAGUGGCUCCCUCUCCAGCGUCUAGACUUGGCGUUCACAAUGGCCAGCGCCUUCCGGAUUCCAUUCUCUGUCUGUUGCCAGUUUCCGAAGCCGCGUAUCUAAAUUGGGAUUUCCUGGAUUCCCAGAGUCUUAGGGUUGGAUGGGGCCCUGGAGGAGAGUGGGGCCAACCCCUCUCUCUCCAGGAGGACCAAAGAGCCGAGAGAGGAGAGCGAGGGUCCCCACCGGCUGGGAUGUUCCAGGCGAGAACACACUAAAGCGAGCUGCCCCUUCUGCCCUUAUAUCAGCGGGAAACAUAUCCUGGGAGCAGAGGAGUUGGGUCCGAUCCCAGGGUGCACUGUAGGAGGACCGCUGUUCGUUCGGGGGCGUGUGGCUUGGUCUGGUAACUCUGGUCUCCUUGUGCGGCCUGUUUGCCCGUCCUCUGAGAGAUCGCCGCCGCCAGAGCGGGGCUUCUCAGGGCUACGGUGCAUUUGCGUCCCUCGAUUCUGGUUCACCAGGUCUGGGGUGGGCCUGGGAGUCUCUUUUCUAAGCAGUUUUCAGGACGAGGAUGCUCCUGGUGCAGGGGACGCUAAGCAGGGAGAUCCCCACAUUCAUUUUCUUGAGGCCAAAGAAGUAAAAGGUGGGACAGGUGAGUCCUUCCCCCCCAGACACUCGCACCCCCGGGAGGAGAUGCCCACGGUCUGUUUGGGCUCCAGCCAGGAGGCGCGUGGGUUACCUCGAUGGUUCUCUACCGGGGGGCCUGUCACGGAGCCACACCUGCAGAGGCUCGCAGUCCCCGCCCCUCCAGCCGAGGAUGGGGCUGUCACCACCUUAACUAAGAGGAGGCCGUGGCCAUCCCAGGCCUGUGCUUUACAGGUCCCGGCAGCUUCUGUUCUUGUCCUGCUGGGAGCCCUGAGCUGCCACAUAGGAAGUCUGGCCACCUGCUGGAGAGGGAGUAGCCCUAAGGGGACACGGGACGAGAAUGGUCCCAUUGUCCAGGUGACAGAGCCCAUCAGCCUGCACAGAUGACCACGCAGAAGAACUGCCAAGUGGAGCCCAGCCCAUUCCGCAGAAUGGUGUGUAGAUCAGAGUAUGGUUGUUCUUAGCCGCUAAGGUUAGGGAGGCGCGUUACAUGGCAGCAGAGAACCAAGGCAGCAGCUGUAUACGUGAUCAUCUCCCCAAGAGGUUUUGAGAAGGAAGGGGCUAUGGUUAGUAACGGGUAACACCAGAACCACAGCGUAAGCCAGGACUGCCCCAGAAGCAUGAGGGCCUGUGUUGGCCCUAGUGAUGAAUAGCUCUGUGACCAAUCAUUGAACGUUUCCUACUGAGAGUCUUUCGUUCCCAAUGGAUAGAAACCAAACUCUAAUUGGUUUAAGCCACAGAGAUUGCUCUGGACUCAGAAUUAGAAAACCCAGAAGCAGUACUGCUUCAGGCACGUUUUGAUCCAGGAGCUGACAUUAUGUCACUGGGGCUCAGUCUCUCCCCAUCUCUGCUUUUUUUUUAGUGGGUUUCAUUCUUUUUCCAGCUUUCCUUUGAAGCAGCAAGGUAAUACCCCAGCAACAUCAAGCUUAUGGGACAUUCGAAUUCCACAAAAGUCCUAGAACUGAGUCCGUGGCACCGAUCGGCUGCUUUGGGCCACAUGCCGUGAACCAGUCACUCUGGCAGGAGUAGGUGCUAAUCCAACGGGCAGACCUAGGACCUAGGUCCGCUGAGCUGUGAGGACCUUGGCCCCAGGGUGGGGUCUGGCCCAGCGUUUCUUUUAGGGCAGGGAGAGGGUCCCCAAGGAGAGCCUGAGCGCUGCUCCUGAACGUGGGAAUGGAGGCGGUAUGGGCACAGAGGCAGCUUUGCAGCAGCACACACGGCCCCCCCGUGCCUGAGCCAAGCGAGUCUGCGUGUCGCAAAGGGUAAAUGGUGACCACAAACUCCUCGAGGAGUCGCCCGCAGAGGCCAGAGAUGGUGCUGCUGAAGGUCUGGACGGCAGUCCUGGGCGGCUCGGAAGCAGCUGACGGGAGCUGCUGCUUGGAGGAGCAGGUGUCGUCCCUGGUGUGCCACCGAGCUGUAGACGGAACCCUCAACAGGGCAGUGAGAGAGCGGCCUCCGGAAGCCCUGUCCUGACCCCUCCAGACAGAGUGACCCCAGCCUCUGAGCCCAAGCCCCGGGGAGCAGUGGCUCUGUUCUCCACGCAGGGUCCUCGGGGGGCCGGGGGGGGUGGAGCUGGAGCUGCGCCGCCGUCUUAGGCUUCCGUCCCUUUUCCUGAGCGUUUGCUGCAGGCGCCGUGUGGAAACAUGGGAAGUGCCCGCCUCCUCGCUGUGCUGGUUUCUGAGUGGAGUGAGUGGUGUUCUGCUCGCAGAAGGACUUCUCCCCAAACCCUGCCCUCCAGCUACUCGGGCGCCGGCAGCCCACGGAGGAGCCGGCCCUCGCCCUCCUCCCCUGUGGCCUGGGGGCCCCUGACAUCCCUUCACUCGGUGCCUCGGCUUGCUGUCGCCCUUCACUGGGUUGCCUGCUGCUCGUAGCGCCCGGAUUAGCUCAGCACUUGGAGCAGCUCUUUCCCAGUCCCGCCUCCGGUGCUGAGCCGGGGCCGGGCCGGCGCAGUGAGAGCGCGGCACCUCCGGAAGGCUCCACGUGCUGGCCUCAGGGCCCAGGGACGGCUAAGUGCGCGUGGCCUCAAGGUGUGGCCUGGGCCUCCCUGUGACGGCGGCCAGGGCAUCCCGGGAGAGAGAGCCAGCACCUGGACGCUGCUGUUGCACUCUGGGAAGUGCCAUCUACCACACUAGGAACCAUGGGGUUGUGGGUUUGAUCCCUGGCCUCGCUCAGUGGGUUAAGGAUCCGGCGCUGCCGUGAGCUGUGGUGUAGGUCGCAGAUGUGGCUCGGAUCCCAAGUUGCUGUGGCUGUGGUGUAGGCUGUCAGCUACAGCUCAGAUUAAACCCCCUAGCCUGGGAACCUCCAUGUGCCACGGGGGCAGCCCU
rnacentral:lncRNA from 1 species